rnacentral:rRNA from 1 species
GUCCAUGGACAUGCCACCAUGAAUGCACCUGAUCUCUGAAGCUAAGCAGGGUCAGGCCUGAUGAGUACUUGUGAGAAAACUUGUCCAUGGUAU